UACGUAGGGGGCAAGCGUUGUCCGGAUUUAUUGGGCGUAAAGAGCGUGUAGGCGGCCAUGCAGGUCCGUUGUGAAAACUCGAGGCUCAACCUCGAGGCGCCGAUGGAAACCGCAUGGCUAGAGUCCGGAAGAGGAGAGUGGAAUUCCUGGUGUAGCGGUGAAAUGCGCAGAUAUCAGGAAGAACACCCGUGGCUAAGGCGGCUCUCUAGUACGGUACUGACGCUGAGACGCGAAAGCGUGGGGAGCGAACAGG
rnacentral:rRNA from 1 species